AUGAGGCACAGACUCCUGAAGGAGGCAGAUGAGGUACAGACUACAGGUCGACACUGUUGCACGCUGACGAAUAAAGGACCUGCGACUAAAUUAGAUAAUUGUGUUUUCAACAAACGGAUGCAGCCCGGCUACACAAUGGCAAAAGUUGAAGCCAAGCAUGCUUCAGUCUUUUCACCUGACAACUGCACUUAAGGCUCAGGAACAGAACGCCACGCUAAGGUGACAUUUACUUGUGACUAAUACUUUAUGUGUGAAAGAGGUAAUAACAGCCUGCUUGCCUGUUUUGGUUAAGCUAAUUUACUCAGAUAACAUAGAAAGCAAUAUUUUACAGACACCUUAAUGAGAUAGUAUAUUGUAAUGUAAUAGAACGGAUGUACGAUGCAUUGUUUUUUUCACAAGGUAUGAAGCAAACCGAUGUUUCUGCACAUUAGCUAACUGAAUCAGGAACAGCAGCCACGAUUACUGUUUUUAAUGACUUCACAAAAUCAAGACUGGAGAUUUGAGGCUAAUCUAUAUGCUAAUGUACACCUAAUCACACUUUAUCGUUUACAACUUUUGGGGUUGGUAAGAUUUUUUUAAUGUUUUUGAAAGAAAGUCUCUUAUGCUCAUUAAGGCUGCAUUUAUUCAAUAAUAAAUACAUUAACAGUUAUAUUGUGAAAUAUUAUUAUUAUAUAACAAUUUUGGACAACUGUUUAUUUUUAUUUUCCUUAAUCUUACUUAUUUAAAUGUUCUUUCUGUUCUCAAUGUCAUAUGUAUGUAUGUUUGUACCAAGAGCUCCUAAAAAAAAAAAAAAAAAAAAAAAUAAUAUAUUUUAAAAUGUCAAUAGAGUGGACUAAAUAAAAAAAAAAAUGAAUUUAGCAAAGUCAUUAUUCAAGCCUUCAGUGUCACAUGAUCCUUCAGAAAUAAUUUGAAUAUGCUGAUUUGGUGCUCAGGAAACACUUCUUAAUAGAGGCUUUCGCACCCGGUAUUUCUAGGAAAUUAGUUAUAGGAACUAGGCACGGUUCCCAGAGAGCUAUAUUUUUCCCUUAGGGACAUUUUCCUGGUUGCAUUCACUCUACCAGUAGGAACUCUGAAGUGAUGUAAGCCAGCCAACAGCACUGACAUUUAAGCAUGGGG
rnacentral:lncRNA from 1 species